rnacentral:rRNA from 1 species
AUUUCUUAGAGUUUGAUCCUGGCUCAGAUUAAACGCUUUUUAUAUGCUUAAUACAUGCAAGUUAAUCAUGAAAUUUUUUUUUCUUUGUAGCACAAGGGUGAGUAACACGCAAAAAUCUACUUUACAGCAUGAUUUAAUAUCAUAUAAAAAGAUUGAAUCGUUGUAAAAUGAGUUUACGUAGGAUUAGGUUGUUGGUAAGGUAAAUGCUUACCAAGCCGAAGAUCCUUAAUUGAUCUGAGAGGAUGUUCAAUCACACUAAAACUGAGACAAGGUUUAGACUUUUUAAAAAGGCAGCAGUAAGGAAUCUUAGGCAAUGGACUUAAGUCUGACCUAGCAAUAUAAAGUGAAUGAUGAAUGUUAUUUUGACUGUAAAGUUCUUUUAUUGAUGAAGAUUAUGACUGUAAUCAAUGAAUAAGAUCUGGCUAACUUCGUGCCAGCAGCCGCGGUGAUACGAGGAGAUCUAGUGUUAAUCGGAAUAACUGGGCGUAAAAUGUAUGUAGAUGGUAACAAUGUAUUAAAACUAAACUUUAAACUAAUUUUAUAAAGUUUUAAACACAAGUUUCUAGAGUAAAAAAAAAGAUUAUAAAAUUUCGAAAGUAGAAAUUAAAUUCGUAAAUUUUCGAAGGAAUACCAAUAGCGAAAGCAAUAAUCUUGUUUAACACUGACAUUAAUAUACGAAAGCAUAGGUAGCGAAAAGGAUUAGAGACCCUUGUAGUCUAUUGCUGUAAACUAUGAAUACUCGUUUUUGGAAUGUUUUUUCAGAAACUUAGCUAACGCGUUAAGUAUUCUGCCUGAGAAGUACGCUGGCAACAUUAAAACUCAAAGGAAUUGACGGGAAUCUGCACAAUUGAUGGAACAUGUGGUUUAAUUCGUCAAUACACGCAAAACCUUACCAAUUUUUGUAUAACUUAAAAUUCAUCUCAAAAUGAACUAUAACUUAAGCUACAGGUGUUGCAUGGUUGUUGUAAGCUCGUGUUUUGAAAUGUUGGGUUAAUUCCAGUAACGAGCGUAACCCUUAAUCUUUAUUGCUAAUAGUUUUUUCUUAUAUUUUAAAAAAGUAUUACUAUGCACUUAAAAGAUAUUGCCUAUGAUAGAUAGAAUAAAAGAAAGGAUGACGACAAAUCUUCACGACCCUUAUAAAUUGGGCUACUCAUGUGUUACAAUGAUAAUUACACAAAAAGUUACAAUAAUGAAAAUUGAAGUUAAUCUCCAAAAAUUAUCAAAGUUCUGAUUGUUUUCUGAAACUCGAAAACAUGAAGUUGGAACCAAUAGUAAUCGUUAAUCAGCAUGUAACGGUGAAUAUGUUCUCAGAUUUUGUACAUACCGCCCGUCACAGCCUGGAAACCAUUUUUGUUUGAACAUUAGUUUUAAAAUUUUUUGUUUUUUGUUAUUUAUGUAUUAUAUAUACUUUUACAAAAACAAAUCUUGUAAAAAUUAAUGUAAAAUAAAUCUGAUAACUGUGCUGAAGUCGUAACAAGGUAAUGGUAGAGGAAUCUGCUGUUGGAAAGUUGGCAUU